GAUGAACGCUGGCGGCGUGCUUAACACAUGCAAGUCGAACGGGGUUAACAUUUUUGAAGCAAAUAGCUUGCUAGGAGUGGAAAUGUUGUUAACUUAGUGGCGGACGGGUGAGUAACGCGUGGGUAACCUGCCGUAUGCAGGGGGAUAACACUUAGAAAUAGGUGCUAACACCGCAUAAGCGCACGAGGGCGCAUGCUUUUGUGUGAAAAACUCCGGUGGCAUACGAUGGACCCGCGUCUGAUUAGCCAGUUGGCAGGGUAACGGCCUACCAAAGCGACGAUCAGUAGCCGGCCUGAGAGGGCGGACGGCCACAUUGGGACUGAGACACGGCCCAA
rnacentral:rRNA from 1 species